rnacentral:tRNA from 1 species
CCCUGGUAGUUCAGAUGGUAAAGAACCUGCCUGCAAUGCAGGAGAUCCAGAUUCAAUUCCUGGGUCAGGAA